CGGGGCCCUCGGCCCUGUUUCCCCGGGUACUGCGGCCCUGAGGUGAAACGGGGUUGUUAGAGCCGAGGACUGACUGCUAAACGUACACGGCGGUGCUUGGGGCCCGUCCAGGUAGUUCAGAAACCUACGGAAAUCCUCCCUCAGAAGCCUCCUAGAUGAGAUCAGCACUUGUCAAAACAGAGUUUGGAGGUGGCCUUGCUACUGUCUGCGCGCUUUAAAUAUCCUGAAAAUCUUUCUGUUCAAAGAAAACCUUUCAGAACAGUGGGGAGCUCAGAACAGUAACAUCAGCCUCUGUCUGCAACCAGGAAAAAAAAGGUGGGAAGUGUUUUUCCUUUCUUUGUGGAGCGGUGUGAACUUUAAAGCUUAAUGAGAGCAAUUUGAGUAGUAACAGCGUUACUCACUUCAAAGCAAAAACAUUCUGAUAUUCCAGAAUAAUCUGUCCUAAGGGAUGUAUUCUUUCUCCUCCUGUGGUUAGAAUAAUUUGGUGCAUGUUAUGCUUUUUUUGUUCUUCAUAGCUUUGAAACCUGUCUUGAAUGAGAGCUUAUCUCUGCCUCAAGGUUUCCAACCCAAAGGGCUGUCUGGUUGAUGUCAGGCUUGGUUAGAAACCCUCCAUGAACAGGUUUCUGGGCAGAGGAUCUCCGUCCUUAUGGCAUUCCAGCAAGGAAUGUCGUGCUGCUGGAAGCAUAAGGCAUCUCUGUUCUCUGCAGUGUGGUACCUUUUCAGCUCCCUGUCUGUAGUUCCAUUUCACAUAACUCCUCCUCUUGCUUCAGCCACUGAGAGUCUGACCCGUCAGAGGUUUUACAGUGACCACUGGAUUCACUGGGAGUUGAACUCUUGUGAGGUCAGUGUCUUAAGAAGGAAGUCUUGCUGGCCUUAAAGCAGGCUGACUGUUUUAAACUAAAAAGAGUCUUUCUUGAAGUAUUCAGCUUCUGCCCACUCGCAGUGCUAAGGCUGCAGAAUGCUACAGCCGCAGAUCUGUUACAGAGUUCAGAGGCAAUCUGUACAGUCAAAUAUUGCUCUGACUUCUUUUUUUCCCCUCUGACACUAUUUCAUAACAAUACUCUCUUUCUCCAUGCCUCUUUUCUAUUGACAAACAGUAUUGUACCCCUCAAAGUGAUGAAAGCAAAAGCCACUGAACUGCACAAUCAACACAUGGCAGUUCCUUUUGUUUUUAAUGAAAUAUAUGACAGCAAAUGGACCAAUAAUGUACCUGUGUAAUUCACACUCAUAGACCAAAGGAAAAAGACGUUGUUAAGCACUAGGUUUAAUACACAGAGAGUAUCCCAAUGGAUACAACAGAAAAGUUAAUUCGUUCAGAAUUGUAAGGAAGGAACAAUUGUGCAUGAUUUUUUGGGGGGGGUUGGUUUCACCAUGAACAAACGUUUGAACCAGGCCUCUCAAUGCAGGCAGGUCAAGGGACGGAGUAAAAGCAGAAGCUUGCUCAUUAUUACUGAGAUUAUUUUCUGUAUGCAGAAUUUGGGAAUAGCUAUUUGGUUAGCUGAAAAACUUUUUUGUUUGUUUUUUAAAACAAAAAGGAAUUACAGAAAGAAUCAGUGACAAUUAUCUGAAGCCAAAAUAGUCUGUUAGAGCAGAAUUGUUUCAGUGAAGCAGGAAAUCUCCCUAAUUCCUGUUCUGAAGUACCAUCUUUUCAUCCAUCCCUGACAACUGUUACCCUCUUUGCUUUGUACAGAUGGUUGUCGUGGAGAUCAGCUGUUUCCCCUAAUUUUUAUUGUCUUUUUUUCCAGUGCAUGCCACCCCCUACACCCCAUCUGUGGCAGUCUUCUUCCUAAACAGCCUCAAGAAGUUUUUUCUUGUGGAGCAGUGCCUGAAUGCAGUGCCCUUCCUCUGCUGCCCCGAAAAUUCAUCAUCUUCAAGUGAUGAAUAGAAUAAGCUCACAGCUCUAAGGCUUUUCUUCCCCUCAUCUUUCGCAGAGACCAAAGCAACUCAAACAGGAGGCUGGGUAGGAUUCAGUGCUGAACAGAUAAUAUCUGAGCUAGCAGAGAGGCGCAGGGCCAUAACAGCUAUGAUGCAGAAGGGUCAGAUUAAUUAUUUGCAUUGUUAAUAAUUGCCACAAGUGUGAGUGCUAAACUUUCUCAGCAUGGUCUCAGUGGGAAAGUCUGGUGCUGCUACACGUUAAGCAUCAUGCACACAGAUGCCAAUCUGUACAAGCAGUUCCUCCCAUGGAUCUUGUCAAAUGGAAGCACCUGUGGAAAGCUGCCCACCAACUUGCUGUCAUGUCUAUUCCAGGGAAAAUGGCAGACACCUGACACCCCGCGUGCCGAGGGCUGCUGCAUCAUUGUGCUGGGUCACUGAGCCAUGAGGCAUUUUCCAGCCAGAAAGGAAACUACUUGCACUGGAGGUAGAGGGUUCCUUUGCUGGAAUAGUCUCUGCAGAGAAUUACUGAGUUGGUUCAUGUUCUGCCUGCCCAGCUUUUGAGUAUUAAGGGAAAUGUGAACCUAAAAACAUGAAUGAGAGUGUGAAUAAGACAACAACUGCAAAGCAAAAGGAGUCCCUCUGCCAUACUUGAUCAGACUGUGAGCUUCUUUCCACCUGUAUUUUCACCUUACAUUUGGAAACCCUGUUAUAGUUUUUCAGACAGGAUUGGCUUCUAUAAUCUUGAGUGUGAAACUGAAGCCUCCUUCCUCUGCAGUAUGGGGUUUGACAUGGGACAGUUCUUUUCUAAACUGGCCGUUUCAAGCUCAGGGAGGGUAGGUUUAGGUUGGAUAUAAGGAAAAAAGUCUUCUACAGUGAGGGUGGCGAGGCACUGGAACAGGUUACCUAGUGUUGUGUUGUGGUUGAUGCUCCAUCUCUGGAGACUUUCCAGGUGAGGCUGGAUCAAGGCCUGGGCAACCUGAUCAGAUCCAGCUGCAGUGUGCAUUGCAGGGCAGUUGGGCUAGAUGGCCUUUAAAGGCCCUUUCCAACUCUGAGGAUUCUAUGAUUCUAUGUAGCUAGCUGUAAUAGACCAGAGAUAGUUUCCCCCACCCCCUAUGGUUAAAUGGCAGAUUCACAGAGCUAAACCUUUCUGGCAGGCUGGCCUGACUCCAUUAAUCUCCACAUUCCUGGGAAUCAGAAAUCUUUUUCUGGUUCAGACUCAGGUACAUGAGGAUACGUGAGCAGUGAGAAGUUAUCUUUGCUUUGAAACAAAGGUUUGUUAGUUUGUGAUACCACAGUGCAGCUGCAGCAGGCGUGAUUUCAGUAACAGCUCAACUUGUAGAGGGACUGCUUUGAACUUUUGGGGUCCUUCAGGCUGAUGGAACCAAGCCACCAUUUGUUCAUUAACCUUGAAGUAGUUUUGUCAAAAUCUCAGAGUAAAGCCUGGUUACAGUGCAAGGCUGAGAUGUGCUCCAGCUGUCUCUCCUGCAGGGCUGCUGCAUACUGAGGAUACAGGAUUCUGACAGUGUAUCCACCUUGUUUCCCCAUCUCCUCCAAUCCCACCUUGCCAACAGUGUCAGAAUCAUUAGAGUUUUCUUGUCACUUGAUUCAAGAUUUUAGUGGUGGAAGUUUUCACUGCGUGGACAUCAGAAAGGAAGAAAAUCUAGUGGGUUGGCACUGUCACAUGAGACAACUUCAGAAGGAAAGCACUGCAUAGAGAAUAAUGUGAGCAAAGCCUGGCUCCUGCAAUGCGUGGAGGCUGGUCAGCACUAUAUGCAGCUGCUCUUAGUUUUGCAUCUAGGAGAAUGAUUAGCAAGCAUUACACAGAAAACGCCAUGAAACAAACAUCUCUGUCUCAAAGCUUGCAGGGACAGAAAUUCUUAGGGAACAGGAAUAAAAGAGAGAAAAAUACAUUUCAAUCAAACAACCACAAAAAAGUGUAAUUUGUCAAGUUUUUCAAACUGUAUGAAAACAAUUCAAAAGUGACACAAAAAUAUAUAUAUAGUUUGAAAAAUACUUAAAGAAAAAGUACAGAUCUCACAAUAUCAAAACAUGACAUGGUUAAAAAGAGAGAAGAAAAGACAUUGGGUAACACCGUGUUGGCAGAAAAAAGUCAACCCCUCCAGGGCAGCUGUGUUCUGUCAUUUAAAGUGUCAGUUUGUGUCCCUAGGAUCUGUCCAUAAUGCGCUCAGUAAUGACAGCAUUAACUCUGAGCAUCAGAAGAACCUCAGUCAUAGCAGCAAGCAAUGUAAAUGAGGGAAGAGAGCAGCAAUGGUUACUGUGCUGUCCCAGAGGCCUGACCUGUCCUAACACACAUGGCCACGGUUUCCUCUCACUGCAGAUGUAAAAUCUUUUCAAAACCACUUUUAAGGGAAGAGCUGUGAAUUAUGAAAGCACUGUGGCAAGUGGGGCUCUGAGCAUGAACUGCACAACGUGAUGCUGAGUGCCUGGCUGUGAAGCAGCCUUUGGCCCUGGGCUUUUUAAGACUCUGUAGGCCUGGGGUUUUACAGGUGAAGACCAGGGGGUUGGAGAUUCAUGAUCUUUGAGGUCCCUUCCAACCCUGGCCAUUCUCUGAUUCUGUGACCAGCUUAGUGGGGACUCUCCUCUCCCCUAACCCAUAUAAAUUGGAGUGAAUCUGCUGAUGGGAGUGGGACUGCACUGGGUAGUGCUAUCAGUAGGAUAAGAGUAGUGCCAGAAGAGGGGGAAGAUGUUGGGAUGGAACAAGAGGUGCUGUUUUAGGAGAUGGUAUUCCAAAGGGUUCCUAGAGACUCCUCAGCCUUAAAGGAGAUGUUAGCACCUCAAAUGACAGCAUCUGUGCUGCAGUGAGGGUACUUUACCACUGAGUGCAAGCUGAAGAAGGGUAGAAGAGCUUCAGUCAUUUACUGGGACUUGCACACGUGGCCCAUGGCCUGGUAGGGGUUAUGAUGCCAUUUUCUGGCAUUUGUAGCCCUUCUCCAUGAAGCAGAACAAAACUAAAAAGGUGUUGAAAAAACUGGUAUGAAGAUGUAUAGCCCUUUGUGAACAAACCUUGUUCCUUUAUGCACAGGCUCCCUUAGAGGGAAAAGCUCUGCAUUGCCAAGGAUGUGUAACUGGUUUUACUGGUCAUCCCUGACCACAUGAGUCUAGGUGGGCUGGCAGAUCCUACAGAACUGCCAAAGGGGACAAAACAGAAUUCCUGACGUUAACAGGAACCUCUUACUUCCAAAUGAACCACAUACAUUUAGCAGUGCUUCCAUUAAUAGGAGUCUACCAUAAAAAACCCUUAGGAGAAUGAAUUGACUUAAAAGAUAACUUUCCCCCGUUUCCUCUACUUAAAAACAUUACCAAAAAGUUCAGUUCUUUUGCUCUGACUUCUUGGUAAUGUGUCCCCCAACCUUCAGAGCAAAUAACUAACUCACUUCUGCCUGUAAACCCACUGAGUGGCCAGUGCUGAUUCAGGACUGGUGUUCUUGCAUUGCAGGACCUCAUGCAAUACAGCAAAAGGGAAUUUUCUAAAAAGUGGGAAGGAAAAUGUCACACUAGUGAUCACACAACUGGGUUUUCAAGCUCGUGAUCAUUUGGGGCUCUCUGUAUGGUCUAAAAAAAAAAAAGGUUAAAAGAUACAUAAUGUAAUUGUCUUUUUUUGUUUUCUUUUUAUACAGAAAUCAUACA